CCUCUGCCGAUCUGGGUAAUGCUGGUGGCAUGCAUCAUCACAGGAUCAACUUCGACAAAUAUCACCCAGGUUACUUUGGAAAAGUCGGUAUGAGACAUUACCACUUAAAGAGGAACCAGAGCUUCUGCCCAACUGUCAACCUUGAUAAACUGUGGACCUUAGUCAGUGAGCAGACACGGGUAAAUGCUGCCAAAAACAAGACUGGAGCUGCUCCUAUUAUCGAUGUGGUGCGAUCAGGCUACUACAAAGUUUUGGGAAAGGGAAAGCUCCCCAAACAGCCUGUCAUCGUGAAGGCCAAAUUCUUCAGUAAAAGAGCUGAGGAGAAGAUAAAGGGUGUGGGGGGCACCUGCCUUCUAGUAGCUUGAAGCCACAUAGGGUGAGGUUCAUUAAAUGCUAACAAGUGCUUUUCUUAAAAAAAAAAAAAAAAAAAGAAAGAAAGAAUCACCUACCUAAAGUAUAACUUCCAUGAUUUUUAAUAUAUUCAAAGUUGUGCAACUAUCACCAAAAUCAAUUUUAGAACAUUUUUAUUACCUCAAAAAACCCCAUACCCUUUGUUCUCCCCUAUUCAUCUCUUGCCUGCUAACCUACAUUUUGCCUCUAUGAAUUUUCCUAUUCUGGACAUUUCACACAACUGAAAUCAUACAUUGGGCUUUCAUGACUGGUUUCCUUCACUCAGCAUAACGUUUCUAAGUUUCAUCCAUAUUGUGGCAUGAAUCAGUACUGCAUUCCUUCUUAUUGCUGAAUAAUAUUCCAUUGUGUGGAUAUAUCACAGUUUGUUCAUCAUUGGGUUGUUUGACUUUUUGGCUAUUAUGAAUAAGGCUUCUAUGAACAUCCAUGUACAAGUUUUUGUGUGGAUAUAUGUCUUCAUUUCUCUUGAAUAUAUACCUAGGAGUGGAAUUGCUGGAUCAAAAGGUAAUCCUAUGUUCAUUUGGCAACUCUCUGUAGCUUUUUGAGGAACUGUCACAGUGUUUUCUAUAUUGGCUGAACCAUUUUACAUUACUACCAGCAGUGGGUUAAGAGUUCUGGUUUCAUCACAUUCUUACUAACAUUUGUUACUAUCUAACUUUUUUAUUAUAGCCAUCCCACUGGGUAUGAAAUAAUUAUCUCCUGGUGGGAUUGAUUCACAUUUCCCUGAUGACUAGAUUUUAUUUAUUUUUAAAAUAUUCUGUCUCUUACCCCCAAACUAGCUAGUGUUUCCAGAAAUGACUUUUUUUUUCUACAACUACUCUGCAUCAUUGUUGAAAACUAAUGCUGUCCAGAACCAAAAGUUUAUAAGGGGAGUUAUAUCUGCAUAAAUGGAAUUAAGUUUCUUUGUUUACUCUGUUCAGGACAUAUUGUUAGCAAAUUUGAAAGAUAUGUUUGAGAUGACCUUACUUAAAAAUAGACUUUGUAGUAUAACUGUGGUUCAAUUUGGGGAACUCUGGAAAGUAUCUCAGGCUCCCUGCAAAACAGCUAAAAUUGUAAUGAGAAGCCAACAUAACCAUGGGAUAGAAAUGAUAUCAUGUUAAGCUGCUGUGGACAAAGAAAAAUGAUCAGGUUUCAGAUAUGAACCCUAAGCCAAAUGUUUCAAGGGCUGACCUAAACCACAAAGAUUAAUUUGUAUUAGGGCUACUCUGUAGCCUGUUCAGAAGGUGAAGCUGCAAGAAUUUAUUCAAUGAUUCUCCCAAAUAUUGCUGGAGAGAUGUGUUAGAGAGAGAGAGAGAGUGUGUGUGUGUGUGUGUGUGUGUGUGUGUGUGUCAACAUUCAAAAGCAAAUGUCAGGCAUCCUACCUGUUUAAUGAUUUAAAAGUACUAGUCGUUACUUGAGUUUGGUGUGGUAGGGUCCCAUGUAAGCCUAGUUCUAAACUUUUCUGAAUAUGAGUAGGAAUAGCACGAAAAGCUGAAAUUUAUAUCAUUGUGAUUUUAAUUUUUAAUGGUAAUGAGACUUUUCAUAUGGCCAUGAGUCUGAAUAUACAAGUGGACAAUGGCCAGACCAUAUGUGCCAACAGAAUUCUGACUCAAUUCUCUGCAGCAACCCAUCUUGGAAACAGAACCACCAUCUCUGCAGCCAUAGCCCCAGAAUGGUCAAGAAUUGGUCAGUAACUGCCAGUUUUCUUAUUUUUUCCCCCUAUUUCCAAUUAAGGACCAACUAGAGAAAGUCAAAUAUGCUUCCCAAACCAAUCACAUAGCAUGCCCUCUAGAUUCUAGUUAGCCUGCUUCCUGCUCCCCCAUACCAACAACCUCCAAUCGAAGCAUACCUGAAGUCUUCCCCUUUAUUCACUAUACAGCCUCCCCUCCCCUCUUGCCUACCUUUGAAUCUCUACCAAAUGCAGAUGAUAGUGGCUGACUCCCUUGCUAAACAAGCUCUGAAUAAAUACCUUUUGCUUGUUCCUCUUUGAGUUCUUUUAUUUCCACAUAGCUAAAGCAGUUUUAAUUUUUACACACAAAUGAACCAGAAUGACAGAACAAUGCAGUGCAAUGUUUUUCCUAGGAGCUGGAUGGCAAUUCAACAUCUAAUAAUGUAGUAUACCAACUGCCACUCCAGUCCCUACAGUAAGUGCCAUUGUGGCAAGGAGAUAAGAAACACAAGUUAUAAAAUUUAUAUGUUGUUUACUUCCAUUCUCUUUUUGAUAAUAAUUAUCUUUCCUUUUUAUGAAAUUACAUAUCUAAAUCAGAUAACAACUACACACA